rnacentral:tRNA from 1 species
GGGGACGUGGCCAAGCGGCUAAGGCAAGAGGCUGCAACCCUCUGAUCCUGGGUUCGAGUUGGAGCAUCUGAAACUCUGUUUCACGAAAUUCCCAGCGUCCCCU